UACGGAGGGGGCUAGCGUUGUUCGGAAUUACUGGGCGUAAAGCGCACGUAGGCGGAUCAGUCAGUUAGAGGUGAAAGCCCAGGGCUCAACCCUGGAACUGCCUUUAAUACUGCUGGUCUGGAGUCCGAGAGAGGUGAGUGGAAUUCCGAGUGUAGAGGUGAAAUUCGUAGAUAUUCGGAGGAACACCAGUGGCGAAGGCGGCACACUGGCUCGGUACUGACGCUGAGGUGCGAAAGCGUGGGGAGCAAACAGG
rnacentral:rRNA from 1 species